UACGGGGGGGGCAAGCGUUGUUCGGAAUCACUGGGCGUAAAGCGCACGUAGGCGGAUCUUUAAGUCAGGGGUGAAAUCCUGGAGCUCAACUCCAGAACUGCCUUUGAUACUGAAGAUCUUGAGUCCGGGAGAGGUGAGUGGAACUGCGAGUGUAGAGGUGAAAUUCGUAGAUAUUCGCAAGAACACCAGUGGCGAAGGCGGCUCACUGGCCCGGUACUGACGCUGAGGCACGAAAGCGUGGGGAGCAAACAGG
rnacentral:rRNA from 1 species